rnacentral:rRNA from 1 species
UCGAACGAUGAACCACUUCGGUGGGGAUUAGUGGCGAACGGGUGAGUAACACGUGGGCAAUCUGCCCUGCACUCUGGGACAAGCCCUGGAAACGGGGUCUAAUACCGGAUAUGACCAUCUUGGGCAUCCUUGAUGGUGUAAAGCUCCGGCGGUGCAGGAUGAGCCCGCGGCCUAUCAGCUUGUUGGUGAGGUAAUGGCUCACCAAGGCGACGACGGGUAGCCGGCCUGAGAGGGCGACCGGCCACACUGGGACUGAGACACGGCCCAGACUCCUACGGGAGGCAGCAGUGGGGAAUAUUGCACAAUGGGCGAAAGCCUGAUGCAGCGACGCCGCGUGAGGGAUGACGGCCUUCGGGUUGUAAACCUCUUUCAGCAGGGAAGAAGCGAAAGUGACGGUACCUGCAGAAGAAGCGCCGGCUAACUACGUGCCAGCAGCCGCGGUAAUACGUAGGGCGCGAGCGUUGUCCGGAAUUAUUGGGCGUAAAGAGCUCGUAGGCGGCUUGUCACGUCGGUUGUGAAAGCCCGGGGCUUAACCCCGGGUCUGCAGUCGAUACGGGCAGGCUAGAGUUCGGUAGGGGAGAUCGGAAUUCCUGGUGUAGCGGUGAAAUGCGCAGAUAUCAGGAGGAACACCGGUGGCGAAGGCGGAUCUCUGGGCCGAUACUGACGCUGAGGAGCGAAAGCGUGGGGAGCGAACAGGAUU